AGCAUAAUGUCUUUGGGGUUCUUCCAUGUUAUAGUAUAUGUCAAAAUCCUAUUGCUUUUUGUUUGUAGUAUGUGUCAGAAUUUCAUUCCAUGUUGUAUUAAGUGUAAGAAUUAUUUGGUUAAAUAAUAUACACUUGCAUUAUAAACCACAUUCCCUUUAUCCAUUCAUCCACGAAUGAACAUUGGGUUGUUUCUACCUGAGUUAUUUUAUGUAAUCUUCAUAACUACUGCCCUUGGCAGAGCUGAAUUUUAAAGUUGGUUCUGUUACUUACACAGCAGCUGGCCCUGGCCAAGUUGAAUUUUCGCUUUGUAUCUUAAUUUCCUCGUUGUAAAAUGGAAGUGAAAAUAUCUACCUCACUGGACUGGAGUGAGGAUUUAAUAAAAUAAUGAGAUACCUAGAAUAAACCCUGCAAAUAGUAGGUAUCCAACAAUUAGCAGCUAGAAACGUGACUCCUGGCAAGAGAAGACAAUUCAAGUCAGUUCCAUACAUCUCAGGAGUCCAGACUAAGGAUAAGGAAGAGACACCAGAGAUCUCUCUUUCUGCAUGCAUGCACAGAAGAAAGGCCGUAUUAGGACACAGUGAAAAGAUGGUCAUCUACAAGCCAGGAAGAGAGGCCUUAUCAGAUCACCAAUGCUGAUCGCACCUGGAUCUUGUACUUCUAGCCUCCAGAACUGAAAUUGUCCUUUUCACCUAAAUUUUCGAAUAUCUUGGCAUGAGAGCCCAAGUAGAGUGCAGAAUCACCCAGGUUCAGAUGAUGCUCGUGCCUCAGCCUCCAGAGUAGCUGGGAUUACAGGAAAGCCAGUGGCCAUGCCAUGAGGACAUUCGAACAUCUAUGAAGAAGCCCCACAUGGUAUGCAUGAGGACUCCUGCAACAGCCAUUUUGGACCUAGAUUCUCCUGACCCGGACAGGGCUUCAAAUGACUGGGGUCCCAGCAGACAUCUUGACUGCAACUUCACAGGAGACUUUGAGCCAGAACCUCUCAGCUAAGCAGCUCCUGAAAUCAUGACACACAGAAACUGUGAUGUAAUGAAUGUUUGUUGCUUUAAGUAAGCCCCUAAGGUUUGGAGUAAUUUAUUAGAUGGCAACAGAUAACUAGUAUGAGCAGGGAAUACUCAUUAUCCCCAUUAAACUUCUUGGACUUUUGGGAGUCAAUGAAAUCUAAGACUCUCUCAUAUGGUGCCAUACCAACUUUGUUGAAGGAAGGGUGUCUUCCCAGAGGUCUGUGAAAACCAAACUCUAUUGAGGAUUAAGGAGGUUCAGAAGCCACCAGUACCACUGUUCUUCAUUUGUUUGCUUAAUCCAUUGGGGAGCAAGUCGUGGACCAACUUCUCAUAGCAGAGUCCCCAACAGAGGUCAAGGUCCCACCUUCUCCACCUUCCUAUAGGCCUUGGCAAGGAUUUGGCUCAAGGGAGGCAAAUGUCUUAGAGCUGGAAGAGAGGGAAAGGGAAUUAUGGCUAAGUUGCUAUUUUUCAAGAAUCUCCUGUAUUUUUUAUAUAUAUAUAUAUAAUAUAAUGUAUAUAUACACACACACACAUAUAUGAGAUAGUAAUCUUAUUGCCAAAAAGUAAAACAAAGUCAAUAAAAUUAGGUAAAAAGGUUUUAAAGACAUCCAUUAUUUGAGAAAAUGAAAGAACAAAUCUCGUGUAAUAAUUUCUUUCCUAUUCAGUUUAAAUAUUUUUCAUGAAAAAGCACAAAUGAAGGCCAGCAUUUAUUGUAUUCAUGCCUUUGGGCCAUCUAUAAACCUUUUAAAACUUUCUCCUAACUUUAUAUUAAUGGAAAAAUAUACUAAAAAAAGGAGGAGGACCAACAGUCUUGUGUAUUUUGCCUCUCAUACCUACCAAAUCAUAAUUACCAAAAUGUCCAAGGCCAUUUGUAUCUAUUAUUUGUAUCCUUUAUUAGAGACAUUCUAUUUUACAUUUUUUGUUAACAUAUUCAUAUAUUUAUAGCCCAAAUAUUGAGGAAAUGAACUAAUGCAUAAUGUGAUUUAAUAUUGCUAUUUUGUGGUUAGCUUUUUAAUUUUACUAUUUUGUCUAUUUUUAAUUACAUAGCUAUUGCAUUCUGUCAGUUAACAAAGCCUGAAUUAAAUAGCUAUCACAUUCUGUCAAUUAACAAAGCUUGAAUUGAAUCUGGCUCUGGGUCUUACAGCAGGUAACUUGUUUCUUCUAUUAGCUUUCCAGCUGACUUUGGAAAAGUCCUUGCACAUGCCCAGACCCCAAUUUUGUCAUCUGUAAAUAUGAAGAUACUAAAUUAGGUUAUUCUUAAACUUCUAUUCAGUUUCUAUACUUUUAAACAGUUAUUGAAUAAAAUACUAAUCAUAUAAAAGGAUACAAAAAAUAAAAACUGAAUUCUUAUCUGAAACAGAUUAAAAUUUACUUGGCAAAAAUAAAAUCAUAUAAAGAAGUAGCUGGUCAGUUAAGUAUUAGAAGAAGUCACAAGAAGAAGAAGGGAGUAGAGGCUGUAAGGGUUAGGGAAACUCAGAGGAAACAGAACACAGUGUGAAUCUAAAGAAUCUGAAGUUGAUGGAAAAACCCAAGCAAGACCUCGUAAGAUCAUUAUUGCUUUUUCAGCUCCCAGAAGGUCUUAUAAUGAUAAUUUGCACUAGGUUUGUUUUGGUGUUUUGUGUACUUGUAUGUCUGUUUGUGAUUUGAAUUUGUCUUUCAAACAUACAGCUCUCCAACUCAUAUAAAUUAGUAUCUACCUUCUGGAAAAUUACAUGCAAAAAGUUAAAUAGUUUAUUAAAGAAAAAGAAUUAGAAUCUGGUUCUUGUUAAAGUAUUAUAGUCACAACUUUUAGCAUGCCAAGUGAUCUCCCAACUUCUAUUUGUAAUAACUCCCUCUUCUUUACUCAAAGUGAUAGGCAUAUACUUAAGCAAAGUCAAAUAGAUUCUCUAUCUUGAUAAUUUGUAUCUCAACACCCAGGGUGGGUGAUUGUUAUUGAGUCAGCUGAAUGCAGGAGCAUUCUAUAGGAAAAGCCCAUGACUGAACAAGUUUUGGCAGCUCUGAUUCCUAGAGAUUUGAUGGUUGCUGUUGCCUUGGAAGCCUAUUCAGCAUUUCCUUUGAUGCAAUGAGUUACUUUAAUUUCAUUUUUUAAAAAAGAAUUUAUUCUUAUAUAAGUAAAUUGACUAUGGAUAUUGGUUGAAUGAAUGGAAGUACAAGCUGUUUUAUAAGAAAAAUAUAUGUCAACAGAGGUCGCGAGCCUCAGUGUGUGUUUGUUAGGCUUUGUAUCAAUGUACACUACCCCAAGCUUAGUGGCUUAAAAACAUUUAUUACUUUUCACCAUUCUGUGAGUUGCCGGGGAGUUGUUUUGGUUUGCACUACCUGUGCAGGUGGGUUGGUUUAGGCUGGUCUCACUCACAUGCCUGGUGGUUGUCAGGCUGGAUCUUACUGGGACCUCAUCACAUGGCAGCCUCAGCAUUCAAGCACUUUUCUAGUUGUUGCUUGCAUCACAUUUAUUUUUAUCUCAUAAUAUUUACCUUAAUCUCACUAGUAAAGCAAAUCACUUGGACAAAUCCAGAAUCAAUGUGGGAGGACGCUACUCAAAGCUCUGAAUAUGGGAAGUGUGAGCAAAUUAAGAGGACAUUACUGUAGAAAUUUGUCAGGUGCUUGGAAAUAUGAGUAGAGACGGCUUUUAGCCUCCUCUACCUUUCUAGCUCCUUAAAAUGCAAAACAAACAAAAACCCUGUAAUUCUUUUUUUUUUUUAAACUAGUUCAUUUUAUUUUUUCCUCUUUCUCUGGGAGAUUUACAAAUAUCAAAGAAAGUCCGUUUAAAAAAAAAAACAAAAAACCCGCCUUUCUUGUGGACUAAUAUUUCACUUCAUGGCACCUU